rnacentral:rRNA from 1 species
GAUGAACGCUGGCGGCGUGCCUAAUACAUGCAAGUCGAGCGAACGGACGAGAAGCUUGCUUCUCUGAUGUUAGCGGCGGACGGGUGAGUAACACGUGGAUAACCUACCUAUAAGACUGGGAUAACUUCGGGAAACCGCAGCUAAUACCGGAUAAUAUUUUGAACCGCAUGGUUCAAAAGUGAAAGACGGUCUUGCUGUCACUUAUAGAUGGAUCCGCGCUGCAUUAGCUAGUUGGUAAGGUAACGGCUUACCAAGGCAACGAUGCAUAGCCGACCUGAGAGGGUGAUCGGCCACACUGGAACUGAGACACGGUCCAGACUCCUACGGGAGGCAGCAGUAGGGAAUCUUCCGCAAUGGGCGAAAGCCUGACGGAGCAACGCCGCGUGAGUGAUGAAGGUCUGCGGAUCGUAAAACUCUGUUAUUAGGGAAGAACAUAUGUGUAAGUAACUGUGCACAUCUUGACGGUACCUAAUCAGAAAGCCACGGCUAACUACGU